AUUGAACGCUGGCGGCAUGCUUUACACAUGCAAGUCGAACGGUAACAGGCCUUCGGGUGCUGACGAGUGGCGCACGGGUGAGUAAUGCAUCGGAACGUACCCAGAGGUGGGGGAUAACGCAGCGAAAGCUGUGCUAAUACCGCAUGUGAUCUGAGGAUGAAAGCGGGGGACCGAGCAGCAAUGUUUGGCCUCGCGCCUUUGGAGCGGCCGAUGUCGGAUUAGCUAGUUGGUGGGGUAAAGGCCUACCAAGGCGACGAUCCGUAGCUGGUCUGAGAGGACGAACAGCCACACUGGGACUGAGACACGGCCCAGACUCCUACGGGAGGCAGCAGUGGGGAAUGUUGGACAAUGGGCGCAAGCCUGAUCCAGCAAUGCCGCGUGCGGGAAGAAGGCCUUCGGGUUGUAAACCGCUUUUGGCAGGAACGAAACGGUGUCCGCUAAUACCGGGCGCUAAUGACGGUACCUGCAGAAUAAGCACCGGCUAACUACGUG
rnacentral:rRNA from 1 species